GCGACGCGUGUCCACUAAGACUACGCGCUGCGUUUCAUUAACUUUCUUCCGUGAUUUAUGUGGGCUUCGCUGUGUGUUGUUUGGGCCCAAUAAUGUCCUCGAGGACCCAUGUCGCUAUCGUGAAAAGCAAGACCCUUCAUCCGCACCGUUCUGGAGUUUAGGGUUCAUCACAAUCUUCGAUCUCCGCCAUUAGAGAGGCUGAGAUGCAGACAGAGGUCAGCGUGACAAUUCCGUUCAUUGGGGUUUCAAUCGUGUACAUCUCUUCUAUACUCACUGUUUCAUUUAAUCGAUGGUGUCAUGGGCUUUGUUCGGUUAAUCUUCUUUUCUAAUUGACCAAAACGUUUCGAGUUAUAGAUUCAUUGCCUUUAUGGCCUUCUUAACUCCAUCCACCAAGAUCUGACAUUGAAUGCAAGUUUCUCUUCUGUAAGGCGGUGUACCCGCAACUAUAAAAGUUUCUAUGUAGUUAGAUGAGUUCCAACGAGCGGUUGCAUAUAGCUACGACAAUGGUUUGAAAGAUAGACUUGAGACAGGCAUCAUGAGUUUGGUUUCGCUAUUGUUCUACCUCCCCUGAAAAGUUCCUAGCUUCUCUGGCUUCUUGAACUAUAUGUCUGGUUCUAAAAACUCUGUUAGAAAGUGGAAAGUCUUAGAUCACGUAGACUCUGAUGAUGUGUUGUUCGCUUUUGCUCCAAAAAGGCAACACUCAUGCUCAGGCCUGCUCAUGCUAACCACCGUCAACGUCCACCGUCUCACCACUUAUGUGACUCGGCGCAAUCAGAAUUUUAUACUGCCCGAGUCUCCUCUAUUGAUUCGUUUCAACGAUUCAACCACUUUGGAUGAGAUAAUCGACUUACCUUACUAAGUUGAGUGCACUCCGCCAUAUCAGUUAGGUGAAAGGCUUACUCUUCCACCAUAUAUUGUUCAUCAUGUGUGUUUCUUGCAGCAAUAUUCAUAUGGUCCUAGGCCCCAGCCUUCGAGCAAGAUCGUAGAGCUAGCUGAGCGUAUAGCGGCAUUGUCUCCAGAAGAGCGGAAACAAAUUGGUCAUGCACUCAGUAAACACCUGCGGCUUCAGGAACAACAAAUGAUUUCGUUCUAAGGCAUGAGGGAGAGAGCAAAACAAGAGGCUGGAACCAAAAAAAAAGGAAAAGCCUGUGUUCUUAAAAUACCAGUUUAUCUGGUUACAAGGCACUUUGGUGAUCAAUGAUUCUCUCACAAAAAGUUAGUUUAAAAUGCUCUGAAACACUGGUGGGAUUCUACAGAAUCAGCAUCGUACGUUUGUUUGUGAGAAAUGCAGGGUUUUACAAAGCUUAUGGAGGGUGGCUUUGAGAUAAGGUUGGUUGAUGAUGAUUUGUGAUUGUACAUUUGUACUCAUAUGAACAACGUAGUAUAGCUUUCCACUAGCCAUUUCAAAUUAUUUGCUUAUUUCCUUUUCACCUGUAAAUAUCUUUUAAAAUAUUAUGUUGUAACUUUGGAAACCCACUUUGAGUAUGAUCGAUUGCUCAUCUACA